GAUGAACGCUGGCGGCGUGCCUAAUACAUGCAAGUCGAGCGAACGGACGAGAAGCUUGCUUCUCUGAUGUUAGCGGCGGACGGGUGAGUAACGCGUGGAUAACCUACCUAUAAGACUGGGAUAACUUCGGGAAACCGGAGCUAAUACCGGAUAAUAUUUUGAACCGCAUGGUUCAAAAGUGAAAGACGGUCUUGCUGUCACUUAUAGAUGGAUCCGCGCUGCAUUAGCUAGUUGGUAAGGUAACGGCUUACCAAGGCAACGAUGCAUAGCCGACCUGAGAGGGUGAUCGGCCACACUGGAACUGAGACACGGUCCAGACUCCUACGGGAGGCAGCAGUAGGGAAUCUUCCGCAAUGGGCGAAAGCCUGACGGAGCAACGCCGCGUGAGUGAUGAAGGUCUUCGGAUCGUAAAACUCUGUUAUUAGGGAAGAACAUAUGUGUAAGUAACUGUGCACAUCUUGACGGUACCUAAUCAGAAAGCCACGGCCAACUACGUG
rnacentral:rRNA from 1 species